GUCAGUUUUUAAAAGAUUAAAACGCUUAGAAUAACGUCAUAAUAUAUAUACACAUAUAGUUAAGCAGCUCACAAGAAAGCAGUAUUAGGUACCAAAAAAAAGAUAAAGUGUUUAAAGUAUAACUAAAUAUAUAUACACAAAUUACAAUACACAUUGACUUGUGGAGUGCAGACGUGUUUUCUCUCUGCUUCCUCCUUUACUUGUUUGGCAGGGUCUGUGAGCAGCCUGAUUUGCUAUUUUGGAAAAUUUUUCACCAUGGAGCCAAUCAACUGGUCACUCAGCACAUUGGACAAAGUUUUUUCACAAAGAAAAGAAUCUCCGGAAGAACUACUCUGCCCCUCUGGGACUUUUGCCUUUGGUAACGUGCGGGAUGUUUGGGAGUCCUGGUGCCCCGUGUGUCUGGAACCACUGUCCAUUGAGGAUGGAGAGGAUCUAUUCAUAUUUUGGACUUUGAUAACAGGGCUACUCAUAAUUGGAUUAAGUGGUGCCCUGCUUUAUCGGAAGAUUGGAAAAUCUGAGGUUGCCUCAUUGGCCCGUCCGCCGACCACAGAGGAAAAAGUGCUUCUGGGGUCUAUGGGCACCUGACUAACGGAAUUACAUCAGAGAACAGCCUGGAUCAAUGGACUGAUCAGUAACAUCUCAGCCCAUCUGGGAGAAGACAGGUGGGAAACAUCCACAGACAUACUGCGUACUUUGUGAGAACGGUGACAGCCUUGUCUGUCAGCCUCAAGGAAAUGUUGCGUGAUUAAUGGACCCGAAGGAGGCAAUGGAGCCCUGGGUGUCAGGACUCGAGGCAGGCGGCGGACCCACAUGCACAGCACCGAGGCAGGAUAAUGAUUAAACACGGGUUUAUUGCAAUAAGCAGAGUAAGGCGGUCCAGGUCAUACACAAAAGAUCUCGGACUUAAACACAGACGGGGAGCAAGCGAUCUCAGGUCCAGUAGACAGGCAGGGUUCGUACACAGGAGGUCACGGUAAAAGUACAGGCAGGGAUCAGGCAAAAACUCACGGUCGGUUAGUUAGUCCAGGGUCAGGCAGGAUACAUGGUGCAAGGCAAAACAGGAACAAAACACGAGGAAACUUCAAGGCGCUCAGGAAACUCACGAAACUCAGGAGACACAAGAAACUCGGGGACUCAGGAAACUCAGGAAACUCGGAAAACUCAGGAGACACAAGAUACUCGGAACUCUCCAGAAACACGGGACACUAAUGAAACUCGACAAUCUGGCAAAGGACUAUGGAACAGGUGGUGGCUAAAUACACAGUGAUUACAUAAUUACUGACAGGUGUGGAUACUGAGAACCGGUAAGUGGACAGCUGACUGGAACAGGAAGUUAACAAAAUAAAACAGGACAUGGCGUGACGACAGGAAACAACUAGAAACGAAACCCAAAUCAUGACACUGGGUCCUGACAGGUCAAAUUCUUGAUCUAGACAAAGAAGUCAUAGAUCCAAAUGCAUUACAUUGGAUGUAUUAAUUCUAUUCCUCUCCCCUUCCCCCUCCCUUUCCCAGUUUCGAUCUAGCUUAACAGCUGUGCUCCUAUCUUCUCAUCAUUGUGACUCCCUUCAGGGACAACUGUAAACAUCUUGGUUUGCCUUGGUCAUACAACUACAAACAUUCACUAUACUGAUGCAGAUACACCCCCUCCCCUUCUCCCCAAGACCAGUCUCACCGUCUGCUCAGCGACAUUAAGUGUUGUUCCUGGGAUCUGUUGGAGCCACUGUCCCAACUUGGGAGUUGUAGCCCCUAGUGUUCUUAUUACCACAGGUAUCACCUGUGCCCUAAGUAUUUCUCGAUCUUUUCAUGCUCCUUUCUUCCUGAUGUUGCUAUCACCUGGGGUUGCUACAUCUAUCACUACAGCCUUGUUCUCUUGUUUCUCCACUACUGUGUUGAGUUGGUUGACCAUUGCCAGUUUGUCAGUCUGUAUCUGAAACUCCCAUAGGAUCUUAGCUCUUUUAUUUAGCCCUGGUUCCCGGGCGACGUUCAAGUUGGUGUGACUCGUAUGUUCUCACUGCGUAAAGAGGUAGGCAGAUAAGGGCCCAGACUGGCUUUUUUGUUGCUAAUCCAACCGGGAUACGAGCACUGCCACAGUACUAUCCAGUCUGCUGUUAUAUAUAUAUAGAGAGAUUAAUUGUGGUUAAUUGUCUAAGUGAACGCUGGUGCUAUUGGCUGCUACUGCUCACUUGAAUCACCAGAGUCUGUACAUCAACGUGUUUCUCUACUGCCUCAAAAUGUUGUUCACUAAAACCUAGUUUUGGUCGGUGCUCUUUUGGGCCACAACUCUUCAUCUACCCGUCAAUCUACCAGUCAAUGGAAGAGGUCUAGCCCAGUUACUGUGAGAAAUGGAAAGUGACACCGCUGGCUAUUCCUCCUUCAAACAUUUUUGAAUCCAGGGUAAUGCAACCAUCUGGACCCACCCCCACUAUCAUUGCCACAAUAUAUCGCCCACCCUAAACCUAAUAAGGAGUUAUUAAAAGACUAAUAGUAUUCCUGACUCACCUCUCCACACUCUCCUCCAAUGUUGUACUUCUGGGGGACUUCAACAUCCACAUUGACAAUGCUGCCUUGCUGACUGCAAGGUUGAAGACGUUCCCUUGUCUGACCAUAUGCUCAUAACUUUUAGUGUUAACCUGUCAUUAUCGAAAACCAUCACACUGCGGACCAUAGCCUAACAUAACAUUAACAACAUUAAUAUGGAAAUGCUUUAACUGUGUCUCUAAUAUAGACAACUUUUCCACUCCUGAUAAGUAAUCUCUCUCUACAAUAAUAGUUACACAGUCUCCUAAAUACCCUGGCUCCACUCAAGACUACCAUGGCUCAGCGUGAGCGAGCAGGAGUGCAGGACCCAAACGCACAGCUUGGGAGACAGGACUUAAAGCAAACAGGGUUUAUUGGUUUUAAAACCAAGCGGCAGGCAAAAACGGAAUCAAGCAGGCAAUUGUCAAAACCCGUAGUCAAAAGAUCCUGCAGAGGUACAAGCAGGGACAAGGCAAAAACAUGGUCAAGGUACAGGCACGAGUCAAAAAAACAUGGACUUAUUAGAAUUUACUGGAAGACUGACAAACCAGGUGCUUGAACAAAGGCAAACAAGAGUGUUGAGUAUUGGUGCUCACAUGCCGGAGAGUAAUUACUGAUCGGAAACAGCUGGUGAUCACAUGACUGAAAAGCAAAGGUGAACUAAGCAUGACAAGACAGAACAAUAGGAACAGGAACAAUCCCGGUUCAUGACAAAAACAAAAUCUGACAGCUUAACCCGUUCUUCUAGGUACACUUCUACUUUCAGAUUGCUUAAAGCUAAAGGGCGUCAACUUGAACGACUUUAUAGAAGGACAGGUCUCACUGUAAGUAAAGAUCUAUAUUAUAAUCAUAUCUCUUACUAUAAAAACUGUAUAACACAAGCUCAAUCCAAAUACUAAUUUGCUUUAAUUACUUCAAAUGCUGGAGAUUCAAAAAUUCUCUUUUCUCUGCUCAGAAAUAAUUGUAAACAAUUUCAUGUUUAAAUGUAGAACGGGGGGCAGAGCUUUUAGCUACCAAGCUCCUCUCCUCUUGACCCAGCUACCUCUUUAGGUUUGAGAAGCUGACACACUCUCCACCUUUAAGAUUAGGCUUAAAACCUUCCUUUUUGAUAAAGCUUAUAGUUAGAGAUGGUUCAGGUCACUGGCAAUGAUUGUUAGUCACAGGAACCAUCUCCUAGUUAAGCUGCAAUAGAUAUAGACUGCUGGGGGACUUAAUUCAUACACUGAGCUCCUCUGUUUUCUUCUACCUCUUCUGUCCAAUAACCUCCCAUCAUUGUCCUAUGUUUAACUAACCUUGUCUCUUUCUCUCCAGUAGUUGUGCUUCUCUCUCUCUCUCUCUCUCUCUCUCUCUCUCUCUCUCUCUCUCUCUCUCCUCCACUCUGUCCUCACCUAUAGGUACAUGUAUCAUUGGACUCAAAGUUUGGUGUCUGUGAUGGGCAGCUGCGGAUCCAACCAUCCUGCCUGCAUCCAGUCCCUGGUCCUACCAUCCUGCCUGUGCUCUGUUGUUGCUGGUUGUUGCUUGUUGUUGUGCUUUUCUCUCUCUCUAUCCUGUUACCCCAACUGGUCAAGGCAGAUGGCCGCCCACAUCCAGCCUGGUUCUGCUGGAGGUUUCUUCCUCGUUUGAGAGGGAGUUUUUCCUCUCCACUGUUGCUGUCAAAUUAAAUGCUUGCUGUAUGUGGGAUUUGUUGGAUUUAGUUGUGUGAGGUUUUAAACCUUACUUUGUAAAGUGCCUUGAGAUAACUUUGUUGUGAUUUGGCGCUAUAUAAAUAAAAUUGAAUUGAAUUGAAUCGAAUAGGAACAUGAUAGUUGAUGUGACUCAUUGGAGUUGACUCAUUUGAAGUGACAUAUUCAUCCAGCUGCAGCCAGGUUUCAGUGAGACAGAACAGAUCUAUGUGAUGGUCAGUUAUCAAGUCAUGUAUUAACAAGGAUUCAGGUGAGAGAGAUGUGAUAUUUAAUAAACCACACUUUAUUAACUUACUGUUACUUUGUUCUGUAAGAGGAACUGUUUUGAUGUUUAUUAAAUUCUGGUAAGUCACUCUUGUUUGAUUUGUGUGUGACUUGUACAGUUUAGGUGGUCGGGGAGCAGACACAGUCUCUAUGCGAUAACUAAGACUAAGAGUGGGUGGCGGCUGUAGAGAACGUGCAGAGAGGCGUGUAAGACUGCGACUCUGCGUCCUGGGCUCCACUCUGAGUUGUCACGGAGUGGGGAGACUAAGCAACAGAGAGCAGAGAGGCUCCGCCCAAUGUGGGAUGGACGCUGUCUCUUCUAAUCAGCCCAGGUUUUCCCCCAAAAGUGCUCCAAUUAGUCGAUUUAGUCCAAUUAUUACUCCAAUUAAAGACCAAAGUCCAUUUAUUUGGUAAUGUAUAUGAUAUUUGUUGUAUUUUAUGUAUGUUUUAACUGUAUGGUGACCUUGAGUGCCAUGAAAGGCAUCUAAAAAUAAAAUGUAUUAUUAUUAUUGUUAUUAAUUGUCGUCAGGUAAUAAGAUGGCCCUCUCUGUCACAUACACAAAAUGUGACUCACUAUUUUCCUUUAUUUACAGGUAGCCCUGUCCAAAAAUCUUUCUCUCUUUCAUUGCUCAUUUUAAUCUAUUUUGUUUAGGUCCACUUUUACAACCCAAAAAUGCAGUUGUGGAAAACUGAAGCGACAAUAUAACCAUACCAUAUUUCACAGAGGCGGAGUUGGAGGUUUUAAUGCAGGCAUAUGAGCUGAUUAUUGUAAGAAAAAGCAAUACAGCUGCAUCAGCGAAGGACCGGGAGUGGGCGAGUAAAUGCGAAAAACUCCAGGUCAAAAUGAAACACAAAACCACCCCUACCCCUCACCCCAUCUGAGGAGUUCGCCAGUGGUUGAUGGCAUUCUUGGGAGCACUUCAUUACACACUACCUCCCACAACAUGAGUAACUUAGUGAAAUGAUGAAGAGACCACUUCUGCUGUGACAGAAUUUAACAGUGCUGCUAGAUCCACAGAGGUCUACCAUAUACAGUAACACAUAACCCAUUUUAACAUUAGGUAGGAGUAAAAGUGUCAUUGUCCUUUCACAAAACAUACCUGGGGACUUCCAUGCAGAUGAGGGUCCAUCUACCUUAUCACUCAAUCUACACAGUUUGCCAGCAAAUGAGCUAUAGAAGGUCCAUCUUCAUCAACAAAUCAAAAAGAGUGACUUUAAGAUGGACCUUAUACAGCUCAAAAUAGAAAAGUGACUGGCUAUUAAAAAGGCUAAACUCGAAAGAAAAAUACUGGAGCAUCGCCUUGAGGACAUAAAAGAACAAUGCUUUGGUGCAGAAACGUUUUUAAAGUGAUUCUGACACAUCAUGUGUCUUAAGAGUCUUCCAUCUCUGUGGUCUACUUGGUUCACUACUGGAUCCUCUUGCUCAUCUUCAGUGGGACAAGGA